rnacentral:rRNA from 1 species
CCUACGGGAGGCAGCAGUGGGGGAUAUUGCACAAUGGGGGAAACCCUGAUGCAGCGACGCCGCGUGGGUGAAGAAGCGCCUCGGCGCGUAAAGCCCUGUCAGCAGGGAAGAAAAUGACGGUACCUGAAGAAGAAGCCCCGGCUAACUACGUGCCAGCAGCCGCGGUAAUACGUAGGGGGCACGCGUUAUCCGGAUUGACUGGGUGUAAAGGGGGCGCAGGCGGCGAUGCAAGCCAGGAGUGAAAGCCCGGGGCCCAACCCCGGGACUGCUCUUGGAACUGCGUGGCUAGAGUGCAGGAGGGGCAGGCGGAAUUCCUGGUGUAGCGGUGAAAUGCGUAGAUAUCAGGAGGAACACCGGUGGCGAAGGCGGCCUGCUGGACUGCAACUGACGUUGAGGCCCGAAAGCGUGGGGAGCAAACAGGAUUAGAUACCCCUGUAGUC